rnacentral:lncRNA from 7 species
GAAAUAUCAAAGAAAGAUGUAUGGAUGGAGUAAGUAAUAGGACCUUCUUUCCAAAGGUCCAUGGUUAUAUGACCGAUGAAAAUGGGCAUGAACCACAUCAUUCCUUACAAGUGAAAAUCGACAAAACGAACUUCAUUGAUCUAGUAAUAGAAACAAAAGCAACAAAGGAUUUCAUAAGUAUCCAAACAUUGGAAAAUCAAAUGAACAAGCAUCUGGAUAAUGAAGGUGGACCAGAUCAAUA